rnacentral:rRNA from 1 species
AUUGAACGCUGGCGGCAUGCUUUACACAUGCAAGUCGAACGGCAGCGCGGGCUUCGUCCUGGCGGCGAGUGGCGAACGGGUGAGUAAUGCAUCGGAACGUGCCCAGUAGUGGGGGAUAGCCCGGCGAAAGCCGGAUUAAUACCGCAUACGACCUGAGGGUGAAAGCGGGGGACCGAAAGGCCUCGCGCUAUUUGAGCGGCCGAUGUCGGAUUAGCUAGUUGGUGGGGUAAAGGCUUACCAAGGCGACGAUCCGUAGCUGGUCUGAGAGGACGACCAGCCACACUGGGACUGAGACACGGCCCAGACUCCUACGGGAGGCAGCAGUGGGGAAUUUUGGACAAUGGGGGCAACCCUGAUCCAGCCAUGCCGCGUGCGGGAAGAAGGCCUUCGGGUUGUAAACCGCUUUUGUUCGGGAAGAAAUCCUCUGGGCUAAUACCCCGGGGGGAUGACGGUACCGGAAGAAUAAGCACCGGCUAACUACGUG